AAUUCGAAGCAACGCGAAGAACCUUACCAGGUCUUGACAUCCUCUGACACUCCUAGAGAUAGAAUUUUCCCCUUCGGGGGACAGAGUGACAGGUGGUGCAUGGUUGUCGUCAGCUCGUGUCGUGAGAUGUUGGGUUAAGUCCCGCAACGAGCGCAACCCUUGAUCUUAGUUGCCAGCAUUCAGUUGGGCACUCUAAGGUGACUGCCGGUGACAAACCGGAGGAAGGUGGGGAUGACGUCAAAUCAUCAUGCCCCUUAUGACCUGGGCUACACACGUGCUACAAUGGAUGGUACAAAGGGCAGCGAAGCCGCGAGGUGGAGCCAAUCCCAUAAAACCAUUCUCAGUUCGGAUUGCAGGCUGCAACUCGCCUGCAUGAAGCCGGAAUCGCUAGUAAUCGCGGAUCAGCAUGCCGCGGUGAAUACGUUCCCGGGCCUUGUACACACCGCCCGUCACACCACGAGAGUUUGUAACACCCGAAGUCGGUGGGGUAACCGUAAGGAGCCAGCCGCCUAAGGUGGGACAGAUGAUUGGGGUGAAGUCGUAACAAGGUAGCCGUAUCGGAAGGUGGGGCUGGAUCACCUC
rnacentral:rRNA from 1 species